rnacentral:misc_RNA from 1 species
AUGUUCUUCUCUGGAAUUAAGAACACUGCUUUGCAACAAAUGGUAUUAGAGCUUGAUUUUCAGUGGGCAUUGUUUCAAAUUAGCUAAGGGCUUCUUCUUCUUCUUAUGUUCUAUUUUCUUCCUUUCUUUCCCUUCAUUUUCUUCUUCUUCUCGGCAUACCAUGUUUCUUCUUCCUCUUCCUUUCUUGAAAUUCUUGAAUCAA